rnacentral:rRNA from 1 species
UCGAGAAUAUUCCACAAUGGGCGAAAGCCUGAUGGAGCGACGCCGCGUGCAGGAUGAAGGCCCUUGGGUCGUAAACUGCUUUUUUAAGGGAAGAAUGUAAUGACGGUACCUUAAGAAUAAGAGGUUACUAACUCUGUGCCAGCAGUAGCGGUAAUACAGAGACCUCAAGCGUUAUCCGGAUUUAUUGGGCGUAAAGCGCAUGUAGGCGGACUUGCUAGUCAGAUGUCAAAUCUCUCGGCUCAACCGAGAAACUGCAUUUGAAACGGCAAGUCUAGAAACAGUGAGAGACUGAUGGAACAUAUGGUGUAGCAGUGAAAUGCGUUGAUAUCAUAUGGAACACCAAAGGCGAAAGCAUUCAGUUAGCACUCGUUUGACGCUCAGAUGCGAAAGCGUGGGUAGU